rnacentral:rRNA from 1 species
UACGUAGGGUGCAAGCGUUUAAUCGGAAUUACUGGGCGUAAAGCGUGCGCAGGCGGUUAUGUAAGACAGUUGUGAAAUCCCCAGGCUCAACUUGGGAACUGCAUCCGAUACUGGAUGGCUUGAAUUCGGGAGAGGGAUGCAGAAUUCCAGGUGUAGCGGUGAAAUGCGUAGAUAUCUGGAGGAAUACCGGUGGCGAAGGCGGCAUCCUGGACCGACAUUGACGCGUGAGGAGCGAAAAGCUAGGGGAGCAAACGGG